UACGAAGGGGGCUAGCGUUGCUCGGAAUUACUGGGCGUAAAGCGCACGUAGGCGGCUUUCUAAGUCGGGGGGUGAAAUCCUGGAGCUCAACUCCAGAACUGCCUUCGAUACUGGAGAGCUUGAGUCCGGGAGAGGUGAGUGGAACUGCGAGUGUAGAGGUGAAAUUCGUAGAUAUUGGGAAGAACACCGGUGGCGAAGGCGGCGCUCUGGACCGAGACUGACGCUGAGGCGCGGAAAGCGUGGGGAGCAAACAGG
rnacentral:rRNA from 1 species